AUCCAGCUGACGAGUUCCAAAAAGGACGAAAUGCCCAUUCUGGAU
rfam:Schistosoma mansoni strain Puerto Rico chromosome 2, complete genome